CUAUGCUACGCAUUGGAUAUAGAGAAAUUGAGGUAGCACCGUGCUCGGCAUGGAAAUAAGCCUAGGAGAAGGCUUGCUCAUGAGACCAUGGCCAGCAAGUAUUCUGCUGCUUUACUGUAUGUCAACAGCAACACCAAUUAGAAAGAUAUUACAAUUCUACUACAUGGUAAUAGCAUCCAAGACAAAUCAUAGCUGGGCUGCAGACGGCAGCUUCUCUUCAGAAAGGCAUUCUUCCUUUUCUCAAUGCAGUAAUUGUUGCACUUCCCUAGUGGAAGAACCUGAAUUGUGGAAAUAAUGUAAGUUUCACUAUAGUUUGAGCACAUAAGAGAGAAAAAUGGUUAGUAAAAUUUGAAAUGGUUUGAAAAAUAAUUGUCUGCCAAAAUAUAAUUUGUUUCUCAGAGUUAAAGAAAUAAACUGCAUCUAUAUUUACCAUUCAAGCUCUUCCUUAAGCCUUUCCUAUGUCCUUGCUGGGCUUUCUGUAUUUUAAAUUUGAUAGACUGUCCCUGAAUGAAUUAAAUUCACAUAAAGUACAGCCAAAGCCACCAAAUGAUAAAAAAAAUCAUACAAAAGCAGGACACAACCCAAAAGGAAAACAAGUUAUAUGAAUGAGAGGGUUGCAACCUAAGUGUAAUAUUUGUUUCAUUUGACAUUUGAUGAGACAGUUCUUGGUGGGGGCUUAGUUUCAUUCCCUUGGCCUCAGUCUGGGACUUUUAGAAAAUGUAUGUUCCCAGGCUGGGCAUGGUGGCUUACGCCUGUAAUUCCAACACUUUGGGAAGCCGAGGCCGGUGGAUCACCUGAGGUCAGGAGUUCAAGACUAACCUGACCAAUAUGGUGAAACCCCAUCUCUACUAAAAAUACAAAAAUUAACCAGGUGUGGUGGCAUGUGUCUAUAGCUCCAGCUUCUCAGGAGGCUGAGACAUGAGAAUUGCUUGAACCCUGGCGGCAGAGGUUGCAGUGAGCGGAGAUCGCACCACUGCACUCCAACUUGGGCAACAGAGUGAGACUUUGUCUCAAAAUAAAUAAAUAAAUAAAUAAAUAAACAAACAAAUAAAUUAAAAAUUAAAAAUUAAAAAAAAUAAACUAUGUCCCACAAGUGAGUUUGGAACCUUGACAUCAUUCUCAUUCCAUGGAAAGACAAUAUAAUGA
rnacentral:lncRNA from 1 species